GUCAGAUUUUAGCGGUUGUAGGAUUUCUUCAUUCAUAUACAUUACCGAUUGGACAUCGCCUGUUAGCCGCUAAAGCUAGCAAUGUUCCUGCUGGCACCGUUACGACACGGACUCUGAUUUGUCCAGGAACAGCUGGAGAAAGGCACCAGUUCCCCCACAACUCUGCCUGGACAAGAGACAUCCUCCUCAACCCUGCCUUGUGCAAGUCACUCUGGACACAGAUGUACACCAAAAAGAACAGGACAAGAGGGAAAAACAAG